rnacentral:miRNA from 1 species
AGCCCGCGGCAUGGCGUCGCA